rnacentral:lncRNA from 1 species
ACUGUUCAGCUCCCAGUUAUCCAUGAGAACAGGGUGAGAUUCCAGUGUUUCCUCCAGAAAGGCACAUUAUUCCUCCACCAUGGUCUUCUUUUUCCUCUGCCAGAUAAAGUGCAGAACAACUAAUUAAAUGUGAAUCUCAAACAAACAUUGAAAUUUUUAGUGUUUUCAGGUGCUGGUUCCAUGGCUCUUCCUGAGCCGAAAAUAAGGAAACUCCAUAGACCUUGUCCACUGGAACUCGUUCCCAUCUACCCUCCACUCUAUCCAGGGUGAUGGAUCUCUGCAGUAAGUGGAAGAGUUCUUCAUGGCCCCCAAGGUUAUAUCCAUCUAGAACUUCAGCACGUAAUUUCAUCUGGAAAUAGUGCCUUUGCGGAUAUAAGUUAGGUAAAACUGAAGAUGAGAUCAUACUGGAUUAGGAUGGGAUCUAAAUCCAAUGAAAAUGUCUUCAUAAAAAACAGGAAAGAACCCAUAGAAACACAAGGAAGAAGGUCAUGUGAAGAUGGAGGCAGAGAUUGGAGGGAUGCAGCCACCGGCCCAGGAAUGCCAGCAGCCACCCAGAAGCUGGAAGGAAAUGAGGGAUUCUCUCCUAGAACCUUUAGAGAGAACAUGGUCCUGUGAACAGCUUGAUUUUGGACUUGCCCAUAGCUUGUAUACUCUUACUUUGGAUACAAUUUUAUCCAAACUUGGCUAAACAGUUUCUCAGCCUAUGGAAAAUUUAAAAUGGAGAAGAUUCAACUCGAUUCUUACAGAUUCAAAGCAAGAAAAUGAUGGGAACAUAGGAGGAGACCAAGAAAGCCUAUAAAAAGCAAAAAUAUGAAGUGAACAUUGUGGUAGCUUUAAGAUGUUUAGUGUAGCUGCAGGCACCCUAUACACAUGAAAACCCCCAAGGGGAAUCCCCAUAUCACAGUGUAGUGUGAUAUUUGACAUUCGUGAUCAUCUAGAGAUGUACAGAAAAGGUGAAUCUGUGUUCUGUAUAUUCUGCCUAAGGCAAAGAAAUGUUUAGCUCUCUUUAAAAUAGUUCCAUAAUUUUUUCUAAAAAGCUUUGCUUGAAAACUGUAAGCUUCCCAUAUCUGGAGCAUUUCACUUUAAAUAUUUGGAUAAAUAUGUUAUCUUCUUACUUGGACAUUUCAUGUGUUUAGGGAUUGUCUUCUAAAUUCUUCCUAAUUCAUAUAGCUGCUAACACUUCCCGCAGAGCUAAACCAUUACAGAUAUGAAAUAAAGACCUAUUGAUUUGACUUA